GCACCCUUAGCUCAGUUUGGCAGAGCAUCUGACUCUUAAUCAGCAGGUCGCCGGUUCGAACCCGGCAGGGUGUAC
rnacentral:tRNA from 1 species